AAAAAGUAAAGCUAUUGAAAAACGGAAUAUAAAAACUUGAAGAUUUGCACUUGCCUAGAAAAAAAGAAAAAAAAAAAAGGGGGGGGGUAGUCAUAGAAAUGGAUAUUUUUGUGAAUGUGUGUGAAAGACUAAUGUGUGAUUGGUUGAUUCUUGUCAGUAAUAUACCAGUGUGCACAGGUUUUUUUGUUUGUUUGUUUGUUGUUGUUUUUUCUUUUUUCUUUUUCUUUUUAAGUUGCUUACCAAGAUGUGUGAGACAAAAGUGGCCAUUCUUGAGUUGUUCUGUUGUUAGGUUUAUUUUGGACUCGUGUGCGUGUGUGCGCGCGUUGAGUAAGAGAGAGGGCAAUUGCACAACACAUCCUUUCUCUUAGCAGCUCUUUAUCCCCCACUUGGGUGAUAAACUCCCUCGGUUGUGUUUGAAUGAUCGGGGAAUUGAGGCGACGACGAUUGCGGGCUUGUGUGUGAUUGUUCAUUUUGCUGUUGAAAGAAGAAAUGAGUCCAGACUACAGGUACUCAUUUUGAAAACUGUGCUUUUGUGUGUUUGUGUGUAUGAAUGCACAUUUGUGCCUAAGAACUUGGAUUGGGUGCGUGGCCAUUGAGACAUUAGCUCUUUUUCAGAGUGAGUGUGACGUGUGUCAGUGCUCAGCACAGUGUAUGUCAAGCGUAUGUUUUUUAAAAAAUAUAUACAAGUAUAUAUAAAUGUAUCGUUGAUGUUUGUAGUUCGGUCAAGGGGUGAUCCAUCGGACGGUUAGCGGGGUGCGAUCACGUUGCCUUUUUGUCAGCUCUCGAACUUGUGAAUGAAAGGUGUCGAGGUUUUGACUCAUGAGGAAAAAAAACUAACAAAAAACAAGAUUACAGCAUCUUAACGGUGCAUGUAAGUUAGCAUUAUGUUACUUGUUCGUUGUUGCAAUUUCAGAAUGACGAGUUUUUUUUUUAUUUUUAUGAGAAAUAUAUACGAAUAUAUACAUUAUAUACAAAGUUUAAAAAGUAUUUGGACUAAGAUAAUGAGCACUUGGGGCUGCUAUUUCUGUUUGUUUUUGUUUUUUUUUCUUACGUUGUGAUACAUUUUUUUGUGUUUCAUUCUCGCCAUGUGAAGUGUAUUUCUUUCUUAAGAAAAUAUUGAAUGUAUUCCAAAAAAUGACAACAAACCCGUGCUGAUUUUUUAUUUUUUUUCCUCAGAAGAUUUCAAAAGUGGAAACAAAAUACAAGGAAGCUUCAGUUUUUUUGUUUUUUUUUUUUUAUUACACAGUGGAGGAAAAAAAAACAAACUGUGGAUAGAUACAGUUGAACACGCUGCCUCUACAAUCCUGAUCGUACAAAUGGUGACUAAGAAUUAAAAGAGGACGAUUUCUAUUCCAUACUGGAGCUUUGGUUUACAAACCACAUGGAUAUCAGUGGGUGCAUUUUUAAAAAAACAAAAAACAAAAAAAAACAAAACCACAAUUUACCAUGUCUUUAUUUUUUUUUUUUUUUUUUUUUUGGAUUCCCAUGUAAAAUGGGCGGGGUUUGCAAGUGUGCUUCUGCCAUUAUGGACAUUGAGUGCUGUUCUUGAGGAAAAAUGGACAAUAUUGCUGCCUACCUGGAGCUUUUUGGGACUGCGGUGCCAAGGAUUGGCCUCCAUUGUUUUCAUAUAUAUAUAUAUAUAUAUAUAUAUAUAUAUAUAUUUUUUUUUUUUUUGUGGAAUGGAGUGCAGGGCGAUGCCAGUCGGAGAAGGAAGUAAGAGGCGAUACGAGUCCCGGGCUCAGUCCUCGCCAGCACUCACCCUGCCCUAACCAACUCACCUAUGCACUUUUGUUCACUUCAAGCUGUGAGGUACCAUUUUUUUUUUGGGAGACGGGAGCACAAUGGGAGGAUGGUGGCAUCACUGAAAAGAAAUUCCCAAACUGAACUGAAAGACUGGAGCCUCCUGUACAUAACAAUAUUUUUCUAUCACCUUUCAGAGUAGACUAUGAUUAUGGCUUUGGAAAAGAUGAAGGAAAACUCAUGACACGCCAUUUAUGUCGGAGUGAAUGUUUUUUGGAGGAAAAAAAACAAAAAAAAAACGUUUUGGGCCUUUUUUUUUUUUUUUUUUUUUAAUAUUAUAAAAACCCUGGAGUCAAGCAAGUGGAAUGGAAAAGAAAAAACCGUUGCAGCUCCCAAAGUCUGAACAUUUGGCACUGGAGUUUGCCUCUGUGCUCUUUCUUGUCAACCAGAUGAAGCCGACCCAGCGAACUCAAAAACCUUGGGUGCGGCUUCCCGGACAGACCAAGCAGAACUGAGGACUGCGGAAUCCCAUCUGUGACCCAUGACCAUCAUCGACCCACCUCGGACAGGCUGCUCCGAAUGAACCUACUACCAGCAGGUCCUGUUUGGAUGGCGAGGACAAAAGCCGGUUUGGCUUCCAGUAGGUGAGAAGCCAGCACGAAGCUCUGCAGCCGUGGAUUUGGGCGGACUGAAGACUUGUACAAAAAAAAAAAAGAAAAACAAAGACUCUACACGUCAACACUUUGCUCCAUGUCACAUAGAUUCUACAGUCCAAAGGAGGUGGACACACACUCACACACACCAGUUAAAGUGGGGCUUUGUAAAUAAUGUACAUUUGUAUGUUUUGAUUUUUUUUUUCCUCCCCUCCUGACUUUUGCUUUAAUUCCCCAGUUCAACAUGCCUUAAAAAAAAAAAAAACAGCAACUGUACAGUCGUGUUCCGAAUGGCUUUCACUGACAAUGUUCCUGAAUUCGAGUUGGACAAAUUGCACAACGCUUUUGUACCAGGCUUUCUGGUUAUCAAGAACAGAGCAACAAGCUUUUCUUGACUCAUGUAUGUAUAUACUUUUUGGGAUGGUGUUUGGCUUUUUUCCUUUUUUUGGGGGGGGGGGGUUCACCCUAUUUUGUUUUUCUUUCAGUGAAGAGUUAGUGUUGUUUAGACGCGCAUUUGGUGCAGACUGAAUUAAAGGGUUGAAGUCUGUACUGUUUGGAGCUGAGCUGAAAGAGUGGAAGAUGAAUCAGAUUUGUUGCCGUGUGACCAAAUAUCAAUAAGCAAUGUAAAUGUUUCAGCCAAAUUGAACCACAUCAUCCUCAAAUUGAGCUUUUUGGGGGGGGGGAUUAGAAUUUAAACGUGUCCUUUUAUUACUCUGAGAUGCUGACUUUUUGUCUCCUGUAUUUGAUGCAUGACUUGGGGCAAAGUGCAUAUGACACCGCCGUGUUUUGGUGCCCAAAUUUGACCUCAGGUGACACCAAAUGGACAACAAAUGCUAGAGAAUCAGAUGUCAAAGAUUUACGCUUCAAUUUCCAGUGAUUUCAGGUCUACUUUGAAUUAACAGCAUUGUAGAUUGGUAACUUGCACGACAUCGGAUACUUGUCGGUUUUGACUGAGCUAAAAGGUUUGAAAUCCAAACUUUAAGCACUACAGUCGAUCAGGUAAAAACGUUUGUUUUUAUUUAAUAUAAAGCACAGCGUUGGUCUUACAUUGUUGCAGUUCGAUUUGCUGCACUGCCGAUUUUUACGACUAGAUAAACGAUAACAUUUAAGUGUAAGAAGGUUGCAUAUCCGAUCGAAAGGUUCUAUUUGGCUUUCAAACAUUGUCCCUCACAUGUUUUAUAACCCAAUCAGCUCAGCUCCUUUUGUUCAAGUCUUUGAAAGUUGUUACAGAACCUUUAUUUUUGGUGGAAAAGGAGCAACUGAAAGAUGUGUAAAUAGUUUGGAUUGUUUUGUUUGAAGAACAAAAUAAAUACUAGCAGUUAGAGACUGA